GUGGGGAAUUUUGGACAAUGGGCGAAAGCCUGAUCCAGCCAUGCCGCGUGCAGGAUGAAGGCCUUCGGGUUGUAAACUGCUUUUGUACGGAACGAAAAGACUCCUUCUAAUAAAGGGGGUCCAUGACGGUACCGUAAGAAUAAGCACCGGCUAACUACGUGCCAGCAGCCGCGGUAAUACGUAGGGUGCAAGCGUUAAUCGGAAUUACUGGGCGUAAAGCGUGCGCAGGCGGUUAUAUAAGACAGAUGUGAAAUCCCCGGGCUCAACCUGGGAACUGCAUUUGUGACUGUAUAGCUAGAGUACGGUAGAGGGGGAUGGAAUUCCGCGUGUAGCAGUGAAAUGCGUAGAUAUGCGGAGGAACACCGAUGGCGAAGGCAAUCCCCUGGGCCUGCACUGACGCUCAUGCACGAAAGCGCGGGGAGCAAACAGGAUUAGAAACCCGGGUAGUCC
rnacentral:rRNA from 1 species